rnacentral:rRNA from 1 species
UGGGGAAUAUUGGACAAUGGGCGAAAGCCUGAUCCAGCCAUGCCGCGUGUGUGAAGAAGGUCUUCGGAUUGUAAAGCACUUUAAGUUGGGAGGAAGGGCAGUAAGCGAAUACCUUGCUGUUUUGACGUUACCGACAGAAUAAGCACCGGCUAACUCUGUUCCAGCAGCCGCGGUAAUACAGAGGGUGCAAGCGUUAAUCGGAAUUACUGGGCGUAAAGCGCGCGUAGGUGGUUCGUUAAGUUGAAUGUGAAAGCCCCGGGCUCAACCUGGGAACUGCAUCCAAAACUGGCGAGCUAGAGUAGGGCAGAGGGUGGGGGAAUUUCCUGUGUAGCGGUGAAAUGCGUAGAUAUAGGAAGGAACACCAGUGGCGAAGGCGACCACCUGGGCUCAUACUGACACUGAGGUGCGAAAGCGUGGGGAGCAAACAGG